GUCGAUGGGGUCCAAGGGAAGAAGGCCCUUAGGACCCACAAAGAAUUUUUUGCAGCUUUGCUAGAAUGUAUUUCGCCUGGCGAUGAGCCCCCCGAAAACACUGUGCGGAAGGCAAUGCAAAGGAUGAAGAAAAGGGUUUUUAAGAAGAGGUGUCUUGCCAAAAACCAGGAGUAGGCUAAGCAUCAUAUAAUUAAAAAUUAUUCGUUAUAUUGAAA